rnacentral:rRNA from 1 species
UGGGCAACCUGCCCCUAGCACUGGGAUAACCCCGGGGAAACCGGAGCUAAUACCAGAUAUGACCACGGACGGCAUCAUCUCGUGGUGGAAAGAUUUAUCGGCUAGGGAUGGGCCCGCGGCCUAUCAGCUAGUUGGUGAGGUAACGGCCCACCAAGGCGACGACGGGUAGCCGGCCUGAGAGGGCGACCGGCCACACUGGGACUGAGAUACGGCCCAGACUCCUACGGGAGCA